GUGCCAGCAGCCGCGGUAAUUCCAGUCUCCAAUAGCGUAUAUUAAAGUUGUUGUGGUUAAAAAGCUCGUAGUUGAACCUUGGGCCUGGCUGGCCGGUCCGCCUCACCGCGUGCACUGGUCCGGCCGGGCCUUUCCCUCUGUGGAACCCCAUACCCUUCACUGGGCGUGGCGGGGAAACAGGACAUUUACUUUGAAAAAAUUAGAGUGCUCCAGGCAGGCCUAUGCUCGAAUACAUUAGCAUGGAAUAAUAAAAUAGGACGCGCGGUUCUAUUUUGUUGGUUUAUAGGACCGCCGUAAUGAUUAAUAGGGACAGUCGGGGGCAUCAGUAUUCAACUGUCAGAGGUGAAAUUCUUGGAUCAGUUGAAGACUAACUACUGCGAAAGCAUUUGCCAAGGAUGUUUUCAUUAAUCAGGAACGAAAGUUAGGGGAUCGAAGACGAUCAGAUACCGUCGUAGUCUUAACCAUAAACUAUGCCGACUAGGGAUCGGACGGUGUUAUUCAUGACCCGUUCGGCACCUUACGAGAAAUCAAAGUGCUUGGGCUCCAGGGGGAGUAUGGUCGCAAGGCUGAAACUUAAAGAAAUUGACGGAAGGGCACCACCAGGGUGGAGCCUGCGGCUUAAUUUGACUCAACACGGGGAAACUCACCAGGUCCAGACACAAUAAGGAUUGACAGAUUGAGAGCUCUUUCUUGAUUUUGUGGGUGGUGUGCAUGGCCGUUCUAGUGUGGGGUGACUUGUCUGCUUAAUUGCGAUAACGAACGAGACCUAACCUGCUAAAUAGCCCGCAUUGCUCCGGCAGUGCGCUGGCUUCUUAGAGGGACUUUCGG
rnacentral:rRNA from 1 species